rnacentral:tRNA from 1 species
CUGGGACGGAAGGAUUCAAACCUCCG